UCUCUGAUUUAACUGUAUCACUGCUUCCAUAAAUUAUAUAAAUAGCAUUUGCAUCAAUAGUGCUCGCGAUUAAAAUGAAUUUGGGUUGUAGCUUAAUGCAUUGCAAUAUAUAAGGAUGGAUUUUGAUGAGUUUGUGCAGCCACACUCAGUGUUCAUCAACUUGAAGCACUUGACCAAUGGGAGCAACAUGCACAGUGUGCCUAUGAACAUUUUGAAAAGGACGGAAACAGCUCUAUAAUCAUUGAAGAACUAGCUUUGGUAUGCUUAAUUUUACCAUGGUCAUAGCUUAUGCAUACAUAUCGUUAUACAAAUAAUAUGAACAUGCUGAUGAACAUUUUGAUGAUGCUGUAAAGCGUAUUGAUUUAGCCACACCCGUUAUGGCGUACAGGUUUGUUAAUUAUUAGUAAAAAUGAAAGCAUGACGUGUUGCUAGAUUUUUGCUCAUAUUUAUUUAGAAAUGAUUCAAACUCAUUAUGUCAUGCCAUAUUGGUUGGCUUGACAUUUUCCUGAUCUGCAUUUGACAUUGCAUCCAUUUACAUGUGCGCAUUGAAUUUUUGUUGCACAAGGUUUGGUAUUAAUGAUGGGAAACUUUUGUGGUGCUCAUACUACCAAAAUUUGGUUGGGGUAUGGAGAACAAAUAUAUCGGUAGGAUUAUCUUUCCCGAUCUGUUAUUUCCAGUGCACUUUACUGGGGUUUUGAGUGCUAAAUUCAUGAUUUUCAAUUGAGAAGUUACAUGUUUUAUUUAUUAAUUGCUCUAGAAAAUAAUAAAGAAAUAGAUUUGCGUUUUGAUAUGAUAUAAUUUUAAAUUCUAUGACAUAUAGAGAAGAAAGAAUAAACCUUUGUAUGUUAUAUCCAUUUCAUUUUGACAAAUUAGAUCCAACACUAAAAGGAUAAAGUGUGAUGGAAUUCAAAGGUCCCAAGAACAAAGUUCAUCCAUUCCUAUUCACCUACUUCUCUGAAUUUGGUUUAUUCCAAUGCACCGGAUGGGAAUGAAUCAUUGGCUUUGGACGUGGGAAGCAUGGGGAAGAUACUGGAUGGCUUAUGGAAAUGGUGGGUGCAAUUCUUACAGAUAUCCUGAGUUGAUUCCACUUUGCUAUAAAGUGCCAACUCAUGGGAAGCAAAAGGUGAUGAUUUGGAAAGUUGACAGGAGGAAUGGGCUGCGGUAGCAGAUUCAUGCCAGAUUGACUGCGGCCGCAGCAAGGGUCAAGGACUUAGAAGGUUUCAUUAAUUUUUGAUAGUUGUCUUUUUAACUGUUAUGAAUGUUUAAAGUAUGUGUUGAGAUAGUUAUAUUCAGAGCAUGAGUGCUCAAAUUCAAUUUGGAACACUUAUGUGGCAUUAAAUAAACAUUUGUGUAUGUCUUUUUAACAUUAGUUGUAUUUGUUGUUUGAAAAGAUAUGAGAUUGGAACAAAUGGUGAUGGAAUUGGAAAAAGGAAAUAAAAAUGGAUCAGACAUUGAGACAUGGAUUUCAUGUUCAAUUAAUGAUCCUUGAAUCAAGGGUUAAGGAUGUACUUGGAUUUAAAGAUAUAUCAAAGUUUAAAAUUAAAAUAUUUCAGUCUGUCAUUUUUUAUCAUGAACAAAUAUCUAAUCUAUAGUUGUUUGUAAGACCGGUUUCUUAUUGCUUUUUCUUUUUUUUUUCCCUAACAUUUUUUACCAUAAAAUUAAAAUAUUUCUGUCUUUAUCUUUGUUGCAAACUGCUACAUCUUGAUGUGAAUGGAUUUUUGUGAGUUUUGUGUUGAGAUCAUGUGCAAGUAUGAUACUGUGUUCCUUCUCUAUUAUUGAUCUUUGGCCAAUGCUUGAUUUAGAUUUGUUUUUAUAUUGUGCUCUCUUUUUUUUUAUUUGUUUUAUUUUCACUCUCAAAGGAGUCCCAGAUAAAAAGGCAAACUAUUUUGUGUAAGUUUCUGCAAUUGAAAAGUUUCACUGCUACAAAUUUAUGUGUUUUAUUUUUGCUCUCACCUUUUUAUGUCAGUUAAGUACAUCAUCUAAACCUAUAUUAAAAAGUGAUAAUUUAUUAGCUAAUAUUCCUCUUUCUCUCUUUUCAUAUAUAUAUAUAUAUAUGCUUUGUGUUAGUCUCAAUUGGUUCAUUCCUUUUUUCUAAUAUUUUUUUCAUCUUCGUGAAUUGUUUAAAAGGCUAUGCAUUCAGUGC